UGGCCUCCUGGGAGGGAUUUCCUUGGGAAACCUGCUUAGGGUGUUCAGGAGCCCCGCUUGUGAGCUGGACACUUGGAAGUCAACUACAAGGAAGGCUGAUGGGGCAGGAUCUCAGGGCUGGUGAGGGAUGUAGCUCAGCAGCACAGCACCUGCCUGCUAUUGCUAGAUUUCCUAGCUGUAUCCCUCAGAUGUUGCAGGCCUGAAAGAGAAGACAUUGGCUUAUUCAUCAUUUUAUGGCCCAAAGUUUUUAACUGGUAAGUGGUCCAUCAAUAUACUCAAGGAGGUGAUUGG
rnacentral:lncRNA from 1 species